rnacentral:rRNA from 1 species
UACGUAGGGGGCAAGCGUUAUCCGGAUUUACUGGGUGUAAAGGGAGCGUAGGCGGUUCAGCAAGUCAGAAGUGAAAGCCCGGGGCUCAACUCCGGGACUGCUUUUGAAACUGUUGAACUAGAUUGCAGGAGAGGUAAGUGGAAUUCCUAGUGUAGCGGUGAAAUGCGUAGAUAUUAGGAGGAACACCAGUGGCGAAGGCGGCUUACUGGACGGCAACUGACGCUGAGGCUCGAAAGCGUGGGGAGCAAACAGG